GACGAACGCUGGCGGCGUGCUUAACACAUGCAAGUCGAACGGUAAGGCCCUUCGGGGUACACGAGUGGCGAACGGGUGAGUAACACGUGGGUGAUCUGCCCUGCACUUCGGGAUAAGCCUGGGAAACUGGGUCUAAUACCGGAUAGGACCACUGCCUGCAUGGGUGGUGGUGGAAAGCUUUUGCGGUGUGGGAUGGGCCCGCGGCCUAUCAGCUUGUUGGUGGGGUGAUGGCCUACCAAGGCGACGACGGGUAGCCGGCCUGAGAGGGUGACCGGCCACACUGGGACUGAGAUACGGCCCAGACUCCUACGGGAGGCAGCAGUGGGGGAUAUUGCACAAUGGGCGCAAGCCUGAUGCAGCGACGCCGCGUGAGGGAUGACGGCCUUCGGGUUGUAAACCACUUUCAGCACCGACGAAGCGCAAGUGACGGUAGGUGCAGAAGAAGGACCGGCCAACUACGUGCCAGCCGCCGCAGUAA
rnacentral:rRNA from 1 species